UAAAUUAAAGCUUUAAGAAGCAUUUUAUUUACAUUAAAGAGAUUAUUUAUUUAAUAUAAUUUGG
rnacentral:tRNA from 1 species